AUUGAACGCUGGCGGCAGGCCUAACACAUGCAAGUCGAGCGGAUGAAGGGAGCUUGCUCCUGGAUUCAGCGGCGGACGGGUGAGUAAUGCCUAUGAAUCUGCCUGGUAGUGGGGGAUAACGUCCGGAAACGGGCGCUAAUACCGCAUACGUCCUGAGGGAGAAAGUGGGGGAUCUUCGGACCUCACGCUAUCAGAUGAGCCUAGGUCGGAUUAGCUAGUUGGUGGGGUAAAGGCCUACCAAGGCGACGAUCCGUAACUGGUCUGAGAGGAUGAUCAGUCACACUGGAACUGAGACACGGUCCAGACUCCUACGGGAGGCAGCAGUGGGGAAUAUUGGACAAUGGGGGAAAGCCUGAUCCAGCCAUGCCGCGUGUGUGAAGAAGGUCUUCGGAUUGUAAAGCACUUUAAGUUGGGAGGAAGGGCAGUAAGUUAAUACCUUGCUGUUUUGACGUUACCAACAGAAUAAGCACCGGCUAACUUCGUG
rnacentral:rRNA from 1 species